GGAGGGGUCGGACGUCGGGCUCAUAACCCGAAGGUCGCGGGUUCAAAUCCCGCCCCCGCCACCA
rnacentral:tRNA from 1 species